rnacentral:misc_RNA from 1 species
UCAACUUUGAAAGAAAUGAGAGCUGCUGGGUAUUCUUCAGUGGGCACCUCAUCAUUCUAAUCUUCCAGGUUUACUGAGAGUUGAUGUUCCUAUAGAUGAAGGCAGAGCUUUGGCCCAUGGUAGUGCUAAACUGUACUCAAAUUUUUGUGGGUUAUGUAAAACGAAUUGAUUUUAUUAGGGUUCAUGCCUUGGUCCUAAAAUGUAAAUUAAGAUGCUGGUGAGACAGUCAUUGAAAAUUGAGUUGAAACUCGGAAUCUAUAAAUGCUUAUAUAUCCCCUUAUAGAUAAGGUUAAAAA